rnacentral:rRNA from 1 species
GACGAACGCUGGCGGCGUGCUUAACACAUGCAAGUCGAACGGAAAGGCCCUGCUUGCAGGGUACUCGAGUGGCGAACGGGUGAGUAACACGUGGGUGAUCUGCCCUGCACUUCGGGAUAAGCCUGGGAAACUGGGUCUAAUACCGGAUAUGACCUUCCAUGUAGUGUGGGGGGUGGAAAGAUUUAUCGGUGUGGGAUGAGCCCGCGGCCUAUCAGCUUGUUGGUGGGGUAAUGGCCUACCAAGGCGUCGACGGGUAGCCGGCCUGUGAGGGUGGACGGCCACAUUGGGACUGAGAUACGGCCCAGACUCCUACGGGAGGCAGCAGUGGGGAAUAUUGCACAAUGGGCGGAAGCCUGAUGCAGCGACGCCGCGUGGGGGAUGACGGCCUUCGGGUUGUAAACCUCUUUCGACAGGGACGAAGCUUCGGUGACGGUACCUGUAGAAGAAGCACCGGCUAACUACGUG